rfam:Thermoproteus tenax Kra 1, complete genome
CUUUCAAUCCUCUCUUUGAGAUUC